UAAUUUUAUUUUUUUUGCAAUUCUUUAUUUUUGCGUGCAAGGUUAGUUACAAUACUACCCGUAUGGCCACAACAGCCUUCCGGGUUUUCAAAUGUUUCAUGACAUCACAACAUAGUUUAGGCAUACAUAGCAGUCUGUCGAUUCUAAUCUGUGGUGUUAGCUAGUUCUGCACAUUUUAAUAUAAUUUAUGGGUCAGUUGGUGUCGAACUGAGGCAACAUUGGAGUACUUUUGAGGAGUGUGUCUUUUUCCCCCUCCAGUGCUAGGAUUGUAG